rnacentral:misc_RNA from 1 species
CCCGUGUUGAACGCAACCGCGUGGGCGUACAGGUACUGAUGGCAUGGCCCUCCUGCGUUUAUGUCCACCUUCACUGAUUUUGAUAAUUCAUUUUAAAAACCACAAACCCAUUCAUUCCCAAUUCCAUUUUGCACACUUUGAGAAUUGAGGUAGGACGACCAGACUUGAGUGGGUCCUUUUAUCAUUCACAACUGCGAUCCCAUGACCAUCAUUUUGAUUUCUGAAUAAACCCAAAACAAAGAGAAAAGAAACAAGUCUCUUCGCGAAAUUUCAACACCCCAAAGCCCACUCCAUUUCGCAGCAGUAGUCAUCAAUCAUCAUUCAUCACCUCUCCAACAAGAAAAAGAAAAAAGCCAUGGACACCGAAGCUUCACCGUUUGAGAGCAGCGAGAUGCUAGCCACUUUCCUCACAUCCACACCAUUGCUAUCUAUGUCAUGGAGCUUAUGCGAUCGCGCCAACACGAUGCCGUCGCAAGGUUUUGUAGCAGAGCAGAUGGGAAGCGUCGGCCAUCUGGCAUUUUCUGGUGUUCAAUUGGGGUCAGGGCCCGACCCAACCUCCGGCAGAAAUCUUGAACCGCUUGUUACUGCUACCAAUGGCCUUUUCUUUCCUUUGGAGCAUCAAUUUGAUGGAGAAGAAGGAGGAGGAGAAGAAGAAGGGAAGGAGCCUGUCCUGGUUCAUGCUGGGUUCUUGCGGAUCUUCCUAUCUGUCAAAAGCAACCCAAAUUUUCAAAAUCGGAUGUUAAAUAUGAUUCAGAAUAGCAAGUCAAUAGUGAUAGCAGGCCACGGCAUAGGAGGAACAGUUGCUGGACUUUGUGCUCUUUGGCUACUAUCUUACCUUCAAUCCAUCUCUUCUAAUAUCUCAGUAUUAUGCAUCACUUUUGGCUCUCCAUUGCUGGGCAAUGAGUCUCUUUCUCGUGCCAUUCUCCGCGAGGGAUGGAGUGGCAACUUCUGCCAUGUGGUAUCAAAACAUGAUGUGUUUCCAAGGCUAUUCUUUGCUCCUCUUGCUCCCCUAAAUCCUCAGCUGCAUUCCUUGCUUCAAUUCUGGCAGUUAUCCAUGACUUCACCGCCCCUUGCUUUGCUUGCUGAAAAAUUACUUGAUGAAGGGAAAUCUCAAAUUUUCCGCACUGUAUUAGCUUCCCUGGAAGGUUUGGCAAAAGCCGAACAAGGGAAAAACGUAACUUGCGGCUUUUGGCCAUUUGGGAACUAUUUCUUCUGUUCUGAAGAUGGAGCUAUUUGUAACGACAAUGCAACAUUUAUUGUCAAGAUGAUGCAUUCGCUGUUGCUGAACAGUUCACCAAGCUGUAGCAUUGAGGAUCACCUUAAGUAUGGAUACUAUGUUGAGAAAGCCUCUCUCCAGGUUCUGACGAAGACGAGUUUCCCGCCUGCGGAGCUUCCUGAAUCAAGCUAUGAAGCUGGUGUUGCACUGGCUUUGCAGUCCUCAGGAAUAGCUUGCCAGGACGAAUCUGUUGCUCGACCAGCCAAAAAUUGCCUGAAACUGGCAAGGCGAAUGGGACGUACACCAAACCUUAACUGUGCCAAUCUAGCAAUUAAAUUGUCUAAAAUAACACCUUAUAGGGCAGAAAUAGAGUGGUACAAAGCAACAUGUGAUCAGUCUGAUGCUCAAAUGGGGUAUUAUGACUCUUUCAAGCAAAGAGGAGCCUCGAAGAGGGACUUUAAAGUCAACAUGAAUCGG